UAGAGCAAAGACAAAGUAAGCAAGC
rnacentral:piRNA from 1 species